rnacentral:rRNA from 1 species
CUAAGAAUAUUCCGCAAUGGACGAAAGUCUGACGGAGCGACGCCGCGUGGAUGAAGAAGGCCGAAAGGUUGUAAAAUCCUUUUGUCGAUGAAGAAUAAGCAUGGGAGGGAAUGCCCGUGUGAUGACGUUAGUCGGCGAAUAAGCCCCGGCUAAUUACGUGCCAGCAGCCGCGGUAACACGUAAGGGGCGAGCGUUGUUCGGAAUUAUUGGGCGUAAAGGGCGCGUAGGCGGUCCUGUAAGCCCGGCGUG